rnacentral:rRNA from 1 species
CCUACGGGAGGCAGCAGUAAGGAAUAUUGGUCAAUGGACGCAAGUCUGAACCAGCCAUGCCGCGUGCAGGAUGACGGCCCUCUGGGUUGUAAACUGCUUUUAUACGGGAAGAAACCUCUGGUUGCGAUCAGAGCUGACGGUACCGUAAGAAUAAGGACCGGCUAACUUCGUGCCAGCAGCCGCGGUAAUACGAAGGGUCCAAGCGUUAUCCGGAUUUAUUGGGUUUAAAGGGUGCGUAGGCGGCUUAUUAAGUCAGUGGUGAAAGACUUCAGCUUAACUGAAGAACUGCCAUUGAUACUGAUGAGCUUGAAUAUACUUGAGGUGGGCGGAAUGUGUCAUGUAGCGGUGAAAUGCUUAGAUAUGACACAGAACACCGAUUGCGAAGGCAGCUCGCUAAAGUAUGAUUGACGCUGAUGCACGAAAGCGUGGGGAGCAAACAGGAUUAGAUACCCUGGUAGUCCACGCCCUAAACGUUGAUAACUCGAUGUGUGCGAUAUACAGUACGCGUCCAAGCGAAAGCAUUAAGUUAUCCACCUGGGAAGUACGGUCGCAAGAUUGAAACUCAAAGAUAGUACGGACGNGAGAGAGCGACGACGGACGACGACGGGAGGAGGAG